rnacentral:rRNA from 1 species
UACGAAGGAUGCAAGCGUUAUCCGGAUUUAUUGGGUUUAAAGGGAGCGUAGGCGGUCUUAUAAGUCAGUGGUGAAAUCCUAUCGCUUAACGAUAGACGUGCCAUUGAUACUGUAGAACUUGAGUACAGAUGCCGUUGGCGGAAUGUGUCAUGUAGCGGUGAAAUGCAUAGAUAUGACACAGAACACCGAUUGCGAAGGCAGCUGACGAAACUGUAACUGACGCUGAGGCUCGAAAGCGUGGGGAUCAAACAGG